AUACGGAGGGUGCAAGCGUUAAUCGGAAUUACUGGGCGUAAAGCGUACGUAGGCGGUGAGUUAAGUUAGAUGGGAAAGCCCCGGGCUCAACCUGGGAACUGCAUUUAAAACUGGCUCACUAGAGUUGAGUAGAGGGAAGUGGAAUUUCAGGUGUAGCGGUGAAAUGCGUAGAGAUCUGAAGGAACACCAGUGGCGAAGGCGACUCCCUGGACUCGAACUGACGCUGAGGUACGAAAGCGUGGGUAGCAAACGGGAUUAGAUACCCUAGUAGUCC
rnacentral:rRNA from 1 species